AGUGAACGCUGGCGGCGUGCCUAAUACAUGCAAGUCGAACGGAGAUUCAGUAGCUUGCUAUUUAAUCUUAGUGGCGCACGGGUGAGUAAUAUAUAGCUAACUUGCCCAUUACUAAGGGACAACAGUUGGAAACGACUGCUAAUACCUUAUACUCCGUAUCUAUAUAAGUAGAUACGGGAAAGUUUUUCGGUAAUGGAUAGGGCUAUAUCGUAUCAGCUAGUUGGUAAGGUAAUGGCUUACCAAGGCUAUGACGCGUAACUGGUCUGGGAGGAUGAUCAGUCACACUGGAACUGAGACACGGGCCAGACUCCUACGGGAGGCAGCAGUAGGGAAUAUUGAUCAAUGGGGGAAACCCUGAAGCAGCAACGCCGCGUGGAGGAGGACACUUUUCGGAGCGUAAACUCCUUUUCUUGGGAAAGAAUUAUGACGGUACCCAAGGAAUAAGCACCGGCUAACUCCGUG
rnacentral:rRNA from 1 species